rnacentral:rRNA from 1 species
CCCUUAGACGUCCUGGGCCGCACGCGUGCUACACUGAUACGUACAACAAGGUAUAUGCAUUCAUGCAUCGAUGCUGCUCCGAAAUAGACACAGCUAAAUCUUCUAAAAUACGUAUCGUGCUGCGGAUAGAUCGUUGAAAUUAUGGAUCUUGAAGGUGGAAUUCCUAGUAAGCGCGGGUCAUCAACCCGCGUUGAUUACGUCCCCGCCCUUUGUACACACCGCCCGUCGCUCCUACCAAUUUCGAGUGGCUCGGUGAACCUCUUUGGACUGUCGAGCAAUCGCGAAAUUAGAGUGAACCUGGUCACUUAGAGGAAGGAGAANUCGUAACA